UCGCUCCUACCGAUUGAAUGGCCCGGUGAAUAAUUCAGACCACGGCUGUGUUCAACCCCUGGACACAGCAGCGGAAAGUCUAGUGAACCUUACCACUUAGAGGAAGGAG
rnacentral:rRNA from 1 species